UCGGUCUCUCUGUCUAAAAUAAACCGAGGUGGUCCCUGGUCUGGGCGUCCUAGGACGUGUCUGAACACCCCGCGGAGGAAGAAGACAGCACCAGCCACUGCUGGCACGGGGCUGCAGCCCCUGGCUACACACACCUCCGAAAGACAGCGGCGACUUCGGACACCUCUCUCCCGCCCCAGCCUGACUCCCCAGGGGCGGUGUGAAACCACAAGUGAUAAUAUCUCCCAUCGCCAGCUUUGAACUUCAGAUAGAAGGAGACCUUAUGGCAGUUGGACUAUCUGAGAGGUCAGUUUCUCCCUGCUUCCAACAGGGGGUGUGAUGUGGGUGGAAGCGGGGCCCUGGCCAAGUGGGGUGCGUUCAUCACCUCCUUUCUUGCCUUGCAACAAACAGACCUGGUGCCCUGUGCCGCCUCCUGCAUAAUGCAUGCGCGCGUGGUAGGAACAGAACCCCGUCCGUGGUGAGUCUGGCCGCUGUGGGCCAUGGACGUGUCCAGAGGCCUUGCCAAGGCUGGUGUCUCUAGGAUGUUGGCAGGAGUUGAGGAGACAGAGGGAGUAUGUGUCACCUGAAAAUUUUCCUGGGGCUGAGGUGGGAACAGGUUGCAUCUUGAGCCUCAGGAUUCUGCAAAGAAAAUAGGGGAAGACAUGAGUUCCCAUGGCUCAGCGGUAAGGAACCAAAAUAAUACCCACGAGGACGUGGGUUUGAUCCUUGGCCCUGAUCAGUGGGUUAAGGAUCCGGCAUUGCUGUGAGAUGUGGUGUAGGCUGCAGACUUAGCUUGAAUCCUGCAUUGCUGGCUGUGGGGUAGGUCAGCAGCUGCAGCUCUGAUCUGCAGACCCUAAAAAAGAAAAAAAGAAAAAAAAAAGUGGGCAGUCAGAGUGCCUCACAAGCCCAGGGAAGGCAUCACCUCAUUGGUUGGAUUCCACUCAUUCAUAGAAUCAGUAAGUACUCAAGGCCAAGCUAACUGCUAGGGCUUAAGAUAUGAAGAUGAGGAGUUCCCAUUGUGGCUCAGUGGUUAACGAAGCCAACUAGGAACCAUGAGGUUGUGGGUUCGAUCCCUGGCCUCACUCAGUGGGUUAAGGAUCUGGCGUUGCCUCGAGCUGUGGUGUAGGUCGCAGACUCAGCUCAGAUCCCACAUUGCUGUGGCUCUGGCGUAGGCCAGCGGCUACAGCUCCAAUUGGACCCCUAGCCUGGGAACCUCCAUAUGCCCCGGGUGCAGCCCUAGAAAAAAAAGACAUGAAGAUGAAUCAGGGGAGUUCCUGCUGUGGCUCAGUAGGUUAAGGAC
rnacentral:lncRNA from 1 species